rnacentral:rRNA from 1 species
GGAGAAAGAGAACCUUCUAGUCACAUGUUUUAUUCAUAUUUUCUUGCUGCCACGUCUGUUGCUACAUAGGGCAAUAACCCGCUCAAAGAAAAAGUAGAACAACUUUUCUUUUUGAGAAAUAAAGAGUAGAGCAAAUUGCUCCUAACAGCAUGAGCAAUGUGAGUCCAAUCCAAGAAAUCACUAUUCUCGGGCCGACGAGCAUCUCCUCCAGCAGACUAAGAAACGGUUGCGGAACUAAAAACUGAAUUUUGGGGUAUUUUGGGCCAAAAAUUAAACGGUUUUGCUAUUGGGCACUGAUAGGCGCCGGCGGACCGGCCCAACUUUCGGCCGGUCGGUCACUAGCCACCCGAUAUGUGCGUGCGGAACCGCACGAUCUGCACAAACCUGCAGUCCUCUCUUUGUCAUCCUCCGCACACCUCGCGGAGAGAGAAAAAGGAGUCGCUCACGCAGCAUGCCGCACCCCUUUGCAUCUCGCUCCAGGACAUAGCUCGCCAUCUUCCCCGCUUGCAGCUCACCGCCGUCAUAUCUCGUCGCGGAACAAAGGUCGAUGCAGCUCCCCCGUCGUUCUCGUUCAUCAAUGGUAGUAGCAAAAAAAUUGCCGGAUGUAGCUGUCCACGUUGUCGGUUCCAGCAAAAAUCAAUGAUGCAGCUCCCCUGUUUGUGUUGGUCCGAUCACCGGUUCCAGCAAAAAAAUUGCUGGAUGGAGCAAAAUCAACACAUGGUUCCAGCAAAAAUACCUCUCUUCCCCGCCACCCCUCUGUUGGUCGUAACACCGUGCACUGCUAGUUGUAGCUCUCCGCAAAGCUGGUUGCAGCUCCCCGGAGUGCCGAUUCCAGCAAAUGGCGGCGUGCCGUCGCGACCUUCGAGAUACUAGUUCCAGCAAAAAAAAUGCCAAUUGCAGCAAGGACGGAUGCCGGUUCCAGCAUUUGGGCAUCGCGGUUGCAGCUCAGGGCCGAGCCGGUUCCAGCAUCCCAUGCCGCCCCAUGGUAGCAAGACGUCGUCGACGCUCCAGCAACACCCUUUGCCGUAUGUAGCUCUCGCUGAGCCGGUUGCAGCUCGCAGACGAGCUGGUUCCAACAUCUACCCAUUGAUCAGGGCGCCGCGCGUCUCCCUUCUCUUCCACAGCCACCCGCACACCUAACCGCCAUGAAGGAAGGAGGAGGAGGAGGGGGCGGGGAGAAGCGGCCAUGACUGUGGUUCGGUGCCACGACAUGAGAGGAGGUAGGGGUUGAGAGUGACGCAACAGGACUGUGGGGAAUGAAUGGUGCCAAGACGGGGAGAUGAGGUUAGUGCGAGCGCGGCGCCGAACUCGUCGGUACGGUGGCGACCAUGGCGGACGAAUAAUGAGGAAGAGAGAGAGAGAGAGAGAGAGAGAGAGAGAGAGAGAGAGAGAGAGGUGUGAGCGAUC